GCGGCUGUAGUUUAGUGGUAAAACCUCUGCCUUCCAAGCAGGUGUCGAGGGUUCGAUUCCCUCCAGCCGCACCA
rnacentral:tRNA from 1 species